rnacentral:rRNA from 1 species
UGGGUCUGAGAGGCGAUGAAGGACGUGGUAAGCUGCGAUAAGCUUUCGGGGGAGCUUGCACACAAGCGUUAUAUCCGAAGAUUUCCGAAUAGGGAAACCUGUUAUGUUGAAGACAUAACACUCGAAAGAGAGCCAACCUCCUGAACUGAAACAUCUAAGUAGGGGAGAGGAAAAGAAAACAAUAGUGAUUCCCUGAGUAGUGGCGAGCGAAAUGGGAAUAGCCCAACUAUAAUAGCGUGCUAUUAUAGGGUUAUAGGACUACAUUUAGAAAUAUACAUCAAACUGAAUCUUCUGGAAAGUUGAGCCAUAGCAGGUGAUAGCCCUGUAAGUACAAAUUGUAUAGGACGAGUAGUAUCCUGAGUAAGGCGGAACCGGAGGAAUUCUGCCUGAAUUUGCCAGCACCAUCUGGUAAGGCUAAAUACUACUCAGACACCGAUAGUGAACCAGUACCGUAAGGGAAA